GUUAGGAAUAUUGGACAAUGGGCGCAAGCCUGAUCCAGCCAUGCCGCGUGAGUGAUGAAGGCCUUCGGGUUGUAAAGCUCUUUAGCCGAUGAUUAUAAUGACUGUAGUCGGAAAAUAAGCCCCGGCUAACUUCGUGCCAGCAGCCGCGGUAAUACGAAGGGGGCGAGCGUUAUUCGGAAUCACUGGGCGUAAAGCGUGCGUAGGCGGCUUUGCAAGUUGGGAGUGAAAGCCCAGGGCUCAACCCUGGAAUUGCGCUCAAAACUGCAAGGCUCGAAUUCGGGAGAGGAUAGCGGAAUUGUCAGUGUAGCAGUGAAAUGCGUAGAUAUUGACAGGAACACCAGUGGCGUAAGCGGCUAUCUGGACCGAUAUUGACGCUGAGGCACGAAAGCGUGGGGAGCAAACAGGAUUAGAUACCCGUGUAGUCC
rnacentral:rRNA from 1 species